AACGAACGCUGGCGGCAUGCCUAACACAUGCAAGUCGAACGAGACCUUCGGGUCUAGUGGCGCACGGGUGCGUAACGCGUGGGAACCUGCCCUUAGGUUCGGAAUAACUCCCCGAAAGGGGUGCUAAUACCGGAUAAUGUCUUCGGACCAAAGAUUUAUCGCCUUUGGAUGGGCCCGCGUUGGAUUAGCUAGUUGGUAGGGUAAAAGCCUACCAAGGCGACGAUCCAUAGCUGGUCUGAGAGGAUGAUCAGCCACACUGGGACUGAGACACGGCCCAGACCCCUAGGGGAGGAAGAGGGGGGGAAUAUUGAACAAGGGGCGAAGGCUGGACCCAGCAAGGCCGCGGGAUGGAGGAGGCCCUUGGGGUUAAAAAGCUUUUUUACCCAGGAUAAAAAUGACAGUCCGGGAAAAAAAAGCUCCGGCAACCCCGGUG
rnacentral:rRNA from 1 species